rnacentral:rRNA from 1 species
UACGAAGGGGGGCUAGCGUUGCUCGGAAUCACUGGGCGUAAAGGGCGCGUAGGCGGCUUGGCAAGUGGAUGGUGAAAUCCCUGGCUUAACCGAGGAACUGCCGUCCAAACUGCUUCGCUUGAGACCGGGAGAGGUGAGUGGAAUUCCCAGUGUAGCGGUGAAAUGCGUAGAUAUUGGGAGGAACACCAGUGGCGAAGGCGGCUCACUGGACCGGUACUGACGCUGAUGCGCGAAAGCGUGGGGAGCAAACGGG